rnacentral:tRNA from 1 species
CGGGGAUGUACGGCUGGUUAGCGUUCGGGACGCUGAGGCCGGGGGUUCAAAUCCCCCCUUCCCGA